UACGUAGGGACCAAGCGUUGUUCGGAUUUACUGGGCGUAAAGGGCGCGUAGGCGGUCAGCACAAGUCAGUUGUGAAAUCUCCGGGCUUAACUCGGAAAGGUCAACUGAUACUGUGCGACUAGAGUGCGGAAGGGGCAACUGGAAUUCUUGGUGUAGCGGUGAAAUGCGUAGAUAUCAAGAGGAACACCUGCGGCGAAGGCGGGUUGCUGGGCCGACACUGACGCUGAGGCGCGAAAGCCAGGGGAGCGAACGGG
rnacentral:rRNA from 1 species